AAAUAUAUAGUAUAACAUUAUUACAUUUAAUUUCCAAUUAAAAAAUUUAAAUAUUUUUAAUAUAUUUA
rnacentral:tRNA from 1 species